rnacentral:pre_miRNA from 1 species
AUUGGAAUUGCUGGAUCAUUUGGUAGAUCUAUGUUUAACAAUUUGAGAAAAUGUCAAGCUGUUUUUCAAAGUGACUGAACCAUUUUAUAUUCCCACCAGUGAU